rnacentral:rRNA from 1 species
CUGCUGCCUUCCGUAGGAGUUUGGACCGUGUCUCAGUUCCAAUGUGGGGGACCUUCCUCUCAGAACCCCUACGCAUCGUCGGCUUGGUGGGCCGUUGCCCCACCAACUACCUAAUGCGCCGCAUGCCCAUCCGUGACCGGGGUCGCCCCCUUUGGCCGGCAGGGGAUGUCCCCUCCCGGCAUUAUGUUGUAUUAGGCGGGAUUUCUCCCGGUUACCCAUCUGUCACGGCCAGGUUGCAUACGUGUUACUCACCCGUGCGCCGGUCGCCGGCGG